rnacentral:tRNA from 1 species
GCGGGCGUGGUGAAAUGGUAGACGCGCCGGACUCAAAAUCCGGUUCCGCAAGGAUUGUCGGUUCGAGUCCGACCGCCCGCA